UUUCCUGCCCUUCUGCUCCCAUUCUGCUUGCCAUCAGGGUGCGGAGCUGGGCAGGGUGAGAGCGUCCCUGCCCUGCAAACACCCGUGGGUGCCCUCUCCUUGGCACCGAUGUAACACAGCUCACCAGGUCUCUGCAUGUUUGCAUCCAGAAAGCCAGAAAUGUCACAGAAAUACUGGUUCCCAUGCAUAAAAUACUCACUUUGUCUUUAUUUCUGAGGCUUUCCAACUGGAAUGGGGGCGGGUGGCCCCUGUGCUGCUCGGGUGCCAGGGCAGGAGCUGGCACUGCCGGUGCUGCAUUUGCCAGCGGGAUCACAGCAAUCAUUCCCAUGUCAGGAGCACUGGCUCGAGGGGCAGGCUCGCUAAUCGCCGUUAAUUUGGCACGGACAGGAGGGAGAACAGCAGCAAAGGCCAUGGGAGAGCACUGUUUGGAAGAGACAUUCCCAGACGCUUUUUUUUUUCACGGGAGCUGGGGGGAGCAUCUUGGCAUUUCCAAGCAGCCGAACAAAACGUCCAACGCCUGAGUUAAACAUCAUGAGUUCAUCCAGCGCUUCCUGCACGCGUGUGCAAUUAAGGAAUUAAGGACACAACAGGGCUGCUCUAACACUGCAGCUCUUGAGAUGGCUGCUGGGAGUGUGCCACGAGGGUGCCACGAGGCUGAGGGUCCUUCCCCAAGCAGAAGGGGGAGAGUGGAGCUGCACAGGCAGUGACCACUCCAACCCAGAGCAGAGCAGGAGCUCACUUAAUCUCCAUGCCUGGCUAGAACCAUCCCUGAUAUGUUGAUCAAAGCAGGCUUUCCAAUCCAGGGAGCACCCAGCAAAGGCUGGCAGGAGAGCAGCAGCACUCCGAGCUGUGGUGCUCACGUGCAGGAUCUGUUGGGGCCGUGGCAGAGCUGGCAAGGACAGCAGGUGGUUCUCUGGCUCCCAGUCUGCGUGUCUUCACCAAAUAACAGAAAGCCCAAUGGUGCUUUCAUGUUGAACGUAUGAAAUUUAUAAUACGAUAAGGACUCAUCUGUAAAACAGAUAAACACGUGUGUGUUAUACAUUACCGCUUUUAAUUCAUUAAAUUUACACUCUAUCCACAGCUAUUUAUGAGCGCUGCAAAGGAUUCCUCCGUAGACAAUUGCUGCUGACUGACUAAUUGCACUAACACUAAGGAUUAAGACAAGGCAUUCCCGACUCCUUAUUUCCCCAUGGGGCUGCACACACGUUGCCUGUCUGUCCGUGGUCCUUGUGCAGCCCUGGGCAGGGCAGAGCAGCCCCCACUGCAGGCUGCGAGCCCCCCAUCCCCCUGCCAUCCCUGUUCCACUCUUAUCACCAGGGCCAGCUUUGGCUGAGCGAUGGCUCAGGCUUGGCGUGGAGACAUCCCCCCCUGCCCCUCUCCGGGUGGGUGGUGUCAGAGCCCUCCCCAUCUGCUGCACCACAUCGGCCCCUCGCUUAUCCCGCUCAGCAGCGGGCUCUGCCUGGCCCGGAUAAAUGCUGCCGUCUGCUUCUCCUCCCCAGGCACUGCUGCAGAGGUGGCUCCGUGGCACAGCGCCCGCUGAUUUGGCUGUGCCUCCACCUUCCCAAAUGCCCACGUAAGGCUCCGAUCACUGCUGGGGAGAUGUUUCCCUGUCUUCUUUUGCCUGCUGC